rnacentral:piRNA from 1 species
UAUCAAGUCGGGAAGUACUCUGCCAGCA